AGUACUUUCUUUGAUUAGAAGCAAUUUUAUCUUUAAUCAUUUCAAUAUUUGCCAAUGAUGCGAAUACGUGAAAUGCAUAAUCGGUAUGAAUUACCGAGUUUAUAUAGAAUGCAUAUUGCAUGUUCAUAGUUUUGCCAUAUUCUUCAUAAAUUUCUGGCUCUUUAAGAAUGGAUUGCAUUUCUUCAUCUGUUUUUGGUCUUUUUGGGUACUUUUUGUCUCUUAAUCGAAAUAGCUGACGUUCCACACUUUCAAAUUUAAGUUGAGUUUCACCUGGUAGGCGUCUAAAACGUAAAACAUAAUGCAAAUUUUUAUGAUAUAUAAUGCAUGCAUAUGAAAAUGUGUACUUCGUAUUCUAAAAACUAACUUUGCAAUCUCCAUUAGGAAAAUUUCUUUGACUGGAACUUUAUGUGCAGAUAUUGGAAAGUGUUUGGCCAGAAAUCUGCAAUGAUCCUUCAUGGCAUUCAAUGAAUUCAUGUCUCGGAAAAUAAUUUCGUGAUUCUGAUGACAUUUGUGAUUGACUGAAGUUCGCGUAAGGUGUUGUGUGUCCACACGUAAAUGGCAUCGUGCAGGGCAGAUUGUAAAAUUACCAUCCUGUAAAUGUUUUGCAGAGAUAAUUGUGUCAUAACAAACCAGAUAAGACGUCCCAUUCUUUAGCUCCUUGCAUUUUGAUUUGAACGAGUGUCAAACGCGUGUAUUCAACGCACUGAGAUGUGACAUACUACAAACAACAACAAAAUAUUUGCACCGACCAUGUCAAUUGUUAAUACAUUGGUGUGUUUUACCAACACGUGUGUAUUGGUGUGUAACACAAAAUAAAAAUAACGAUUAUGUUUAUUAAAAUUGGAAAAAUGUAACAAUUUUUCCCAUAGCAAAAAUGUUCUUUUUUAUCAACUGUAAGCUGUACGAACACAGGCCAGAAAACAUAUAUUAGUUCGCAGCGUACGUUUUUAACUUCCGUACACUUCAUAUUUUUAA